GUGGGGAAUAUUGGACAAUGGGCGCAAGCCUGAUCCAGCCAUGCCGCGUGAGUGAUGAAGGCCUUAGGGUUGUAAAGCUCUUUCAGUGGGGACGAUAAUGACGGUACCCACAGAAGAAGCCCCGGCUAACUUCGUGCCAGCAGCCGCGGUAAUACGAAGGGGGCUAGCGUUGUUCGGAUUUACUGGGCGUAAAGCGCACGUAGGCGGAUCGUUAAGUCGGGGGUGAAAUCCUGGAGCUCAACUCCAGAACUGCCUUCGAUACUGGCGAUAUUGAGUCCGGAAGAGGUGAGUGGAACUCCUAGUGUAGAGGUGGAAUUCGUAGAUAUUAGGAAGAACACCAGUGGCGAAGGCGGCUCACUGGUCCGGUACUGACGCUGAGGUGCGAAAGCGUGGGGAGCAAACAGGAUUAGAAACCCGGGUAGUCC
rnacentral:rRNA from 1 species